UUCUAAUGAGAAGAACAAUUAUUGAGAAGUUUGCAAGUUCUAUUAGACAAUAAUAAUUAAAGUGGUUCAAAAUCAGAAUAAUAUUUUAAUUUGUGUCUUGUGGUGUAUAGGAUCUUGAUGAGCAAUCUUCAGACAGUUGAUUUGAAAGGCCUUAUAAAUCAACAAAAAUUAGCAUUUUGGAUCAACUUGUAUCAUGCAUAUGUGCAAUUUUGGUUGUAAGCCAUGGGGAUCCCCUGCAAAUCUUGCAAACAAUUCUGCUUGCUGCUAAUAAACACAAGGGUCCCUCUUAUGAUGACUUAGCUUCAAUGUUAGAGGCAGUUUAGGUGGCACCGAUCUUGUCCCAGCACUGCCAACACACAAUGCAAACUGGAGAGCUCAAGGGAGUCAUUUAAGGUUUAGCAUAGAGCCAACUUACUCUUUUGGUUGGAUUUGGAUCCCAUAUUCCAUUAUUUACUUUUUAUAUUCAUAACCAAAACUUUUUGGAGUAUUUAUCAAAAUAUGAAAUUAGUUUGCAAUUUAUCACAAUAAAUGUUAAGAAAUUUAUUAUA